rnacentral:rRNA from 1 species
AUGAUCAGCCACACUGGGAUUGAGAACGGCCCAGAUUCUUACGGGGGGCAGCAGUGAGGAAUAUUCGGCAAUGGGGGCAACCCUGACCGAGCAACGCCGCGUGCAGGAUGACGGCCUUCGGGUUGUAAGCUGCUUUUCUGAGGGACGAGUAAGGACGGUACCUCAGGAAGAAGCUCCGGCUAACUACGUGCCAGCAGCCGCGGUAAUACGUAGGGAGCAAGCGUUGUCCGGAGUUACUGGGCGUAAAGCGCAUGCAGGCGGUCUGUCGCGUUCGUGCCGACAGCGGCUCGCUUACCGAGUCGAGGAGUACGAAAACGGGCAGACUUGAGGGUCACAGAGGGAUACGGAACUCCGGGUGGAGUGGUGAAAUGCGUAGAGAUCCGGAAGAACACCGAAGGCGAAGGCAGUAUCCUGGGUGACACCUGACGCUGAGAGGCGACAGCUAGGGGAGCGAACGGGAUUAGAUACCCCGGUAGUCCUAGCCGUAAACGAUGACCACGAGAUGUCCGGGGGAUCGACCCCCUGGGUGUCGUAGCUAACGCCAUCAGUGGUCCGCCUGGGGAGUACGGUCGCAAGAUUAAAACUCAAAGGAAUUGACGGGGACCCGCACAAGCAGCGGAGCGUGUGGUUUAAUUCGAUGCAACGCGAAGCACCUUACCAGGGUUUGACAUGGCACCGCACCUCCGAGAGAUCGGAGUGCCCGCAAGGGACGGUGCCACAGGUGCUGCAUGGCUGUCGUCAGCUCGUGCCGUGAGGUGUUGGGUUAAGUCCCGCAACGAGCGCAACCCUCAUUGCUAGUUGGAAUUCUCUAGCGAGACUGCCACGAUCAACGUGGAGGAAGGUGGGGAUGACGUCAAGUCAGCACGGCCCUUACAUCCUGGGCGACACACACGCUACAAUGGUCGAGACAACGAGCGGCCAACCCGCGAGGGGGAGCUAAUCUCAUCAAACUCGAUCUCAGUUCAGAUUGCAGGCUGCAACCCGCCUGCAUGAAGUCGGAGUUGCUAGUAACCGUGAGUCAGCACAUCACGGUGAAUACGUUCCCGGGCCUUGUACACACCGCCCAAGGGCG